rnacentral:lncRNA from 1 species
GUUGGCACGAAAGGCAGUGUUGCAAGAGAAAGAAGGAGGGUUUUAGAAAGAUUAUUUAUUAUUUCUUUUUCCACGUGGUUCUUGGAUUUUUAAGAUGCACCAUUUCUACAUCGGUCUGUGUCUGGUGGUUCUGGUGUGCGUGAGCGGGAACGCACACCCAGUUGACUAUGAGAGUGACGAGGCCUUCUUGAGUGAGAAGAUGAGGGAGUAUCUUAUGCUUAGAAAAUUACUUAUAAACGCGUUAAGUGAGAGAACUCCACUUAAAGAAUCCCCGAGGAAGCGUCUCUGCAUGAAUCUAGGAGACCCAAGCUGUUAUGAAUCCAAUAUGGCGGCCAAAGGAGACGAUGCCAAGUUCUUAAUCGGAUCCAACAACCCGGGCAAGUGAGGAAGAGGAGGAGGAAGCAAGAAUUUCAUGAGGUCUUCGUAAAUUAUUAUUAUUAUUAUUACUCUGAUUAUUAUGAUUAUUUAUUGAUGGCUGGGAAUAAUAAUAAUAAUAAUAAUAAUAACAAUAAUAAUAAUAACAAUAAUAAUAAUAAUAAAGAUAUAAUCUGGAUUUGAAGGCUAAAUAAAAGAAUUGAUUAUCGAAAUGUGCAA